GCCUGGGUGGCUCAGUCGGUUGAGCGUCCGACUUCGGCUCAGGUCAUGAUCUCGCGGUUCGUGGGUUCGAGCCCUGCAUCAGGCU
rnacentral:tRNA from 1 species